AUCCAGUUAAAGAGUCCCUAAUAGGACGAAACGCGCGUCCUGGAU
rnacentral:hammerhead_ribozyme from 1 species